UACGUAGGUGGCGAGCGUUGUCCGGAUUUACUGGGCGUAAAGAGCGCGCAGGCGGUCGUACAAGUCGCGUGUGAAAGCCCCCGGCUCAACUGGGGAGGGUCACGCGAUACUGUUCGACUCGAAGGCAGGAGAGGGAAGUGGAAUUCCCGGUGUAGUGGUGAAAUGCGUAGAUAUCGGGAGGAACACCAGAGGCGAAGGCGGCCACCUGGACGAGCACUGACGCUGAGAAGCGAAAGCGUGGGGAGCAAACAGG
rnacentral:rRNA from 1 species